ensembl:lncRNA
GUCAUGUAUUAGGUGUGGAUACCGACCCUGGCUUCUCGUCCGCCUGGAAGAACUUUGCCUGGAGAAUACAACCAACCAGGCCAAAAGGAAAGAACUGGAAACCCAGACAAUGUGGGGGAGCCCCAUGGCAAUGACUUUGUCGUGGGGGAAGUAAUGUCCUCCAAGUGUCAGAGACACUGGGUUUUCCUCUGCCUUAAGAUUAACCUCUUCCAAAUGCUGCCUCUCUCAACUCAUGUGGAGAAAUAGUUACAGCAGGAUAAAACUCUGACUCUCUUAACUAAACCCAGGAGAGUCAUCUCCCAGUGUCCACAGAGUACUGGUGCCAGGGCCCAUUACGGGUACCAGGAUCUGAAGGUGCUCAAGUCCCGUACAUAAAAUGACAAAUGUUUGCACAUAACAUGUGCAUAUGCUUACAUUGUUUCUUUAUAUUUUUCAUUGAUACAUGGAAAUUUUACAUAUCUCUAGGUACCUUGUAGUGUUUUGAUAUGUGUAUGUAUUAUGUAACCUUCAAGUCAGGGUUAGCAUAUCUGUCUUCUGAAACAUCAUUUAUUUGAGGUGAAAAUAGCUUUAUUCAUAAACUUUAAUCAUCGUUAGAUUGCCUAUAAUGACAAUGUAAAUCAUAUGUAAAUACUGUAUCAUUUAUAGAAUAAUGACAAGGAAAAGAGUCUAUACAUAUUCAGUAUAGUAUUCAUUAUGUAUUCAUUUUCCAUCUGUGGUCGGUUGACUGUGGAUAUAGAGUUGUGAUAUUUGAGUCUUUGGGCAUUUUUUCUCUAGUGAAUGCUGUUUUCCUUCUUUUCAGAAUCUAGAGCGGAACGUGUGGUAGACAGCAAAAUACUCAUCGAUGUACUUGCUGCUCGAACACACAUCAGUUUCCAUGAGGGCUGCCUGCACCUCGGCUCUGUGGAGCUUCCCUUGGAUCUCAGAGCAGAGACCACAGAUCCGUUGGGAGCAGUUGGCCAUGCUGUUGUCUUCAUUCCCCGGGGUACCUUCAGGCUGCAGUUCCUGCCCUCACUUCUCAGCCUCCGACCAGCAGCUGCAGGAUGCAGACGGGGCCCCUCCCCUCUCGGCUUCCGGCAGUGCCAUGCAGGCUGGAUGGGACUUGGCGCGACCCUGUUGGGGUUGGUGCUAAUCUUUGGAGACAAAUAAAACAAUUCAGGAUGCUCAGCGUGUGAGGAAAUGUAUAUUCACUCGCACUUCACUCAUGCACGUAUCCUUUUGUUCAGAAUUUAUUGAUCGUCUACUUUGUAUUAUUCAGUGUAUUUGUCAGGCUACAGGUUAAACAGCUAAAACAAAGAAAGCAAAAAAUGCAGUGGCUUAAGCAAGCAAGCAACCAAGCAAGACGCCUUUGCUCUCGGCAGUCACAACCCAGGCAGGCAGCGUUGGCAGGACAGGGGUCUGUGGCUCGUCUAUCCCAGCUGGCAUAUCCAUGCAAUGUGUGUGAUUUGUAGAAGUAUCUGAGGAUACCUCAUUCCCCUACUCCAAAAAAGAAGGCUGUGUCGUCCAGCACUGACAGAGUGUGCUCAACCCACUUUGACAAUGACAAAUGUGGUGAACUUAAGAAACAUCAUAAAAUGCUUAUCUGAGAUUUAUUUUAAAACAUGUUGCAUUUUAGACAAGUUUUUAAAAAAGAAAACCUGUUCAUUAUACCUGAAAAGCAGGCAGUAGACAAAAGUUGUUUGCAUUAGAGAGAAAGCCUAUGCAGAUACCAGGAAGUAUCUAAGCUAACGCCCCCUGCGGCUGCAACCCCAGUCCUUUGGUGCAAGGUUUUGCAUCAAAGCCCUGUCUGCUAUACUGUCACCAAAAAUGGUGCUUCCAUCACCGGCAUCUCACUGGAGAAAGCUGAACUGGGUUUUGCAGAUGGUGAUGUGCAAUUGGAAGAAGAUUCCAACCUCCUUCUGUGGACAAGAGGAAGCGCUCCUGUUAGCUAAGGUCACUGACAAACUGGCUGGGUGCUUGCGGAGGAGGUAGAGAGAGACAGAACAGCACAUGCGGAUGUGGGAGCCUACCAUUCAUCCCCUCCCCUCCCUGCUCCUGCUUGCCUAGAUGCAGGAAGUACAGUUACCUCUCAGUAUCCACAGGGAUUUAUUCCAGGGAUCCCUUGGAUACCAAACCUUGUGGAUGCUCAAUCCCUUAUGGAAAGCAGUGUCAUAUCCGCACAUGACCUAUGCAAUCCUCCCUUACCCUUGACAUCUCCAGAUGACUUGCAAUAUUCAAUGCCAUGUAAGCAGUUGCUGUCCCGUGUUGUUAGGAAAUGAUGCAGACGCUCAGUAUGGAGGCAGUUUUCAGUCUGCAAUUGUUUGAAUCAGUGGACGUGGAACCCGUGGUAGAUUUUUUGAUCUGCCUACCCCUACCCCUUGACAGCCUGAACCUCAGUGUUUCACCUCAGCGAGGGUGAAACCUCUUUUUCUAAAUUAAUACCCAGAAUAAAACAGCCCUCUUCUGGGUGGUCA